rnacentral:rRNA from 1 species
CAGCCGCCGCGGGAAUACGGAGGGGGCUAGCGUUGCUCGGAAUGACUGGGCGUAAAGGGCGCGUAGGCGGCGAUCAAAGUCAGGCGUGAAAUUCCUGGGCUCAACCUGGGGGCUGCGUUUGAUACUUGGUUGCUAGAGUGAGGAAGAGGGUCGUAGAAUUCCCAGUGUAGAGGUGAAAUUCGUAGAUAUUGGGAAGAACACCGGUGGCGAAGGCGGCGACCUGGUCCUUGACUGACGCUGAGGCGCGAAAGCGUGGGGAGCAAACAGGAUUAGAUACCCGAGUAGUCCCUGUCUCUUAUAC